UCAAUAGCAUAAGCUUUAUGUUCUCACACUUCUAAGUGAUAAUCAAAUGUGUUAUACCACUUUAUACCCUGAGAUCCAAAAUACAUAAAUAUUUGACAAUUUGUACAAGACUGUAUUAAUAAGAAAAUGUAGCACAUGUAUAAAGAGAAGCAGCCUCACACAGAUUAAGGAAAAUGACAUUGAUCACAAAUGUCCUCAGCCUGGGUUGGCUGUGUUGCCUUUGUACACUUCAGUCCUCUGAGCUGAAGUGGGAGUGGUUUCUCUCCUAAAAAUGUUUCUGAGGCCCAAAUAGCUGAAGAGGUGGAGACAUUACAGAAACCAACUGGAGCCCCCAGAACUGGCAGACACCUGCCUGAUGCUGCCAUGGGACCCCAGCUCCUUGGCUAUGUGGUCCUUUGUCUUCUAGGAGCAGGGCCCUUGGAAGCCCAAGUGACCCAGAAGCCAAGAUACUUCAUCACAAUGACGGGAAAGAAGUUGACAGUGACUUGUUCUCAGAAUAUGAACCAUGAUUAUAUGUCCUGGUAUAGACAAGACCCAGGGCUGGGCCUAAGGCAGAUCUACUAUUCAAUUAACGUUGAGGUGGUUGAUAAGGGAGAUAUUCCUGAAGGGUACAAUGUCUCUCGAAAAGAGAAGACGAAUUUCCCCCUGAUCCUGGAGUCGCCCAGCCCCAGCCAGACCUCUCUGUACCUCUGUGCCAGUAGUGUAUCCACAGUGCUGCACAGCCAGCUGCUCUCUGCACAAAAACAGAGGGUAGUAGCUGCAAGAACAAGGAGACUCCUCCUUCAGGAGACCCCUUGCCGACCAACAGGAUAAACUUCCUCCGUCAUCCCACAGAAGCCCUUCCCCACACCCCAGCCUCAGGGACUCUGCAAUGCAGCCGCUCUGUGGAACCAGGGGUCCAUCCUCUACCUGCUGUACCAAUGAGGUUUCAAAGUUGGGCAGGACAAGCUGAGUUAGCUGUACUGCCAGGGUACUCUCCAAUCCUUUCUUCUUGUGGAGCUUAAAUCUUUAAAUUCAACUAAGCUGUUGCCCAAAAUGAAGACUCCAUUUACAAUCUAAUGGGUCUCAACAAUAUUUGGUCCUGUAUAGGUCCUGAACAGGACCUCCAGGUCCUAUUCCGGAGAUUUUGUCACUUGGAGGAACACCAUGUUUGGAGUUAUUGAUGAAACCCGACACCUCCUAUUUUCUUCCUCUCAGCAGAUGGUCCAAAUGCCCAAGUCAGAGAUGCAAGACUGAGCUUCACUGUCUCUCUGACUUUCCCCUUCCACACCGAAUCCACCACCCCAUCCUGCAUUCUUCUGAGUACUAAAUUCCUCACAAAUUUUACUAACUUCACUGAUCUCACCUGGAUCCCUCUAGCCACCUUCCCAGUAGCCACCCGACCUGCAAACCUGCGACCUACCCCCACCCACAAUCACUCCCUCAAGCUAACCCUUUGGCUUUUUUCUAUUAACUAGCUAAAGUCUCAAGUUCAUGUUAGUUUGCAAGUCUCUCAGCCCCUCCAUGAUGUGACCUUUGCAAAUCAGCCCACCUUUCUAACGCUGACUUCCCGUAUCCUUCAACUACCACAACUGCCUGCAUCUACUCCAGAAAUAUCCCACUUCUCACAGGUCCACAAAUAUGUCCACUGCUGACUCACUCCUGGGUCUUCAUCUACAAUGGUCACUCUACCCAGAAUACCAUAUCCCUCUGGUAUUCAUCUGUUUUUACAGCUGCUCUUUUUGUGCAGACUGCAGCUGACUGUGCAAUGCUGUGAAUAAACUGCUGGCGCAAACGUACAGAGAGGUCUGGACUGGGUGACUCGAGGAUCGGGGACCAAUUCAUAGACCAAUUUAGAAGUCACUUCCUCUAGCACGAUUUCCUUGAAUCACUGACUGGGUUAUUUCUCUCCCGUGUGUUCUUCUAACAGCCAGAGCUAACACCAACACUGAGACACCACCAUGAACUCACCAGCCGUUGACUUCUCUGUUCUAUAGCUUUUUGCCUCUUUGGAAUAGGUAGGUCAUGGGUACAGGUAUGAUGUCCUUGAACUUGGUUUGCUAGACCCUACAUUAAGCCUUUCUCUGGUGGUUAUACAUCAGUAUAUUUCCUAAGUUCUCUCUUUUUAGCCACAAUGUCCAUGAAUGCUGGUGUCACUGAAAUUUCAGUUUAUCAAGUUUCACAGUCAGAAAAGAAAGUACUAUAAUACAAUCAGAAUAUGUUUUAUGAUCCAUAUGUGCUGAGCCAGACAAGAGCCGGGAAUGAAGCUCCAACUAAUCUAUUUCUCAGUUGGUGCUUAGAGUACAAACAAAUAGAAAGUCUCUAAUAGACCUGUGUCUCUUGAGAUAAGACUGAGCAUUUCUUUUUCUUUUUCUUUUUUUUUUUUUUAUAUACUUUAAGUUCUAUUUCUUGCAGUCUACAGACAUCCAGCUCUUCGCAGACACAGCCAGCCGUUAACCCGAAGCACUGCACAGCCACUUCCUCUCUGCACAGAAAAGGCUGUCACAGGGGAGAGGUGGUCUUACCUUCCAGAGCCUGCCCUUACCAGAGGAAGCCACUCCUACCACAGAAACACUUAGGGGCCUUUCCCAGCUCUUUGCACUGAGACUUAUGGAGCUCUGAGGGCCCCAGUCUGUAAAAGUCCAUCCCUGGCCUGGCGCAGUUGCUCACACCUGUAAUCCCAGCACUUUGGGAGGCUGAGGUGGGUGGAUCACGAGGUCAGGAGUUCGAGAUCAGCCUGGCCAACAUUGUGAAACCCUGUCUCUACUAAAGAUACAAAAAAUUAGUCAGGCAUGAUGGUGCACACCUGUAGUCCCAGCUACUUGGGAGACUGAGGCAGGAGAAUCGCUUGAACCCAGGAGGUGGAGGUUGCAGUGAGCCAAGAUUGCACCACUGUACUCCAUUCUGGGCGACAGGAUGAGACUCCGUCUCAAAAAAAAAAAAAAAUCUAUCCCCAGAUCACGGUGCACCUGUGAGAUGGAGUUGUCAAUGUCCUCCUUCCCUUCCUUCUCAUUUGCUGUUUCAAUAGGGCUUCCUCAGCCUGGGCUCCUUAUUGGAAUUGACCUGCAUCAAUCCAGUGCCCCCUCACACCACCUACUAGAGAAGGCUGCAUUCUACAUUAUGGUCUUCAGGGAUCCUCUCUAGGGCCCCACAUGCUUCCCUUUUUGUUUACCUGUGUCUCAGGGGACAAUUUUAAUCUUAGUCUUAUACUUUUCAUUUAAGCAGGUUAGGCUACACCAUGCACUUACAGAUUUUGCCAAUAGAAGCUUUGAGACUUCACAUCUUGUAAAAUAAAAAAAAAAAAUUGUACUAAA